AAAGAUAAGCAUGAAGCUUAGAGCCCAGCCACCCUCAAAAAAUUGAUUAAAUUGGACAGAACUCUGCUUUAAAAUCAAACAGAGGAGUGCACUCGUGAAAGCAUCAAGGAAAGCAACAACAACACAGGAGGUGGGAAAGGACCCAACCUUUGCCUGAACAACAGUCACUCUUACAAGGAAAUCAGAAAAUCGUUCUUAAUUCUUUUCUCAUU
rnacentral:lncRNA from 10 species